GCGGAGGCUACACAUGCAGUCGAGCGCGCCUUCGGGUGAGCGGCGGACGGGUUAGUAACGCGUGGGAACGUGCCCUUCUCUACGGAAUAGCCUCUGGAAACGGAGAGUAAUACCGUAUACGCCCUUUGGGGGAAAGAUUUAUCGGAGAAGGAUCGGCCCGCGUUAGAUUAGGUAGUUGGUGGGGUAACGGCCUACCAAGCCUACGAUCUAUAGCUGGUUUUAGAGGAUGAUCAGCAACACUGGGACUGAGACACGGCCCAGACUCCUACGGGAGGCAGCAGUGGGGAAUCUUAGACAAUGGGGGCAACCCUGAUCUAGCCAUGCCGCGUGAGUGAUGAAGGCCUUAGGGUCGUAAAGCUCUUUCGCCUGUGAUGAUAAUGACAGUAGCAGGUAAAGAAACCCCGGCUAACUCCGUGCCAGCAGCCGCGGUAAUACGGAGGGGGUUAGCGUUGUUCGGAAUUACUGGGCGUAAAGCGCGCGUAGGCGGAUUAGAAAGUUGGGGGUGAAAUCCCGGGGCUCAACCCCGGAACUGCCUCCAAAACUGCUAGUCUAGAGUUCGAGAGAGGUGAGUGGAAUUCCGAGUGUAGAGGUGAAAUUCGUAGAUAUUCGGAGGAACACCAGUGGCGAAGGCGGCUCACUGGCUCGAUACUGACGCUGAGGUGCGAAAGUGUGGGGAGCAAA
rnacentral:rRNA from 1 species